rnacentral:rRNA from 1 species
GAUGAACGCUGGCGGCGUGCCUAAUACAUGCAAGUCGAGCGAACGGCGGAGAGCUUGCUCUCCGAAGUUAGCGGCGGACGGGUGAGUAACACGUGGGCAACCUGCCUAUAAGACUGGGAUAACUUCGGGAAACCGGAGCUAAUACCGGAUAGAUUCUUUCCUCUCAUGAGGAAGGAAGGAAAGAUGGUUUCGGCUAUCACUUAUCGAUGGGCUCGCGGCGCAUGAGCUAGUUGGUAAGGUAACGGCUUACCAAGGCGGCAAUGCGUAGCAGACCUGAGAGGGUGAUCGGCCACACUGGGACUGAGACACGGCCCAGACUCCUACGGGAGGCAGCAGUAGGGAAUCUUCCGCAAUGGACGAAAGUCUGACGGAGCAACGCCGCGUGAACGAUGAAGGCCUUCGGGUCGUAAAGUUCUGUUGUUAGGGAAGAACAAGUAUGAGAGUAACUGCUCGUACCUUGACGGUACCUAACCAGAAAGCCACGGCUAACUACGUGCCAGCAGCCGCCGUAACAC